AGGCCAGUAGCAUAGUGGUGAUGCACUCGACUCAUAAUCGAUAGAUACGUGGUUCGAUUCCACUCUGGCCUACCA
rnacentral:tRNA from 1 species